UACGGGGGGAGCAAGCGUUGUUCGGAUUUACUGGGCGUAAAGGGCGCGGUAGGCGGUCGUGACAAGUCACUUGUGAAAUCUCCGGGCUUAACUCGGAACGGUCAAGUGAUACUGUCGUGCUAGAGUACAGAAGGGGCAACUGGAAUUCUCGGUGUAGCGGUGAGAUGCGUAGAUAUCGAGAGGAACACCUGCGGCGAAGGCGGGUUGCUGGGCUGAUACUGACGCUGAGGCGCGAAAGCUAGGGGAGCGAACGGG
rnacentral:rRNA from 1 species